rnacentral:lncRNA from 1 species
GUUUUUUUUAGUUGUAGAUGGAUACGGUACCUUGAGUUUAUUCAUUUUUAUGUGGUGCUGAGGACCCAGAGUCUCACCUCCACCACCCAGCCCCAGCCCCACAGAAGGGGUUUUGUUAAGAAGUCUGCCCGACUGCCAGGCCAGGCCUCCUCUCACCGGCCUCACCCUCUGUCCAGAUUGGAAAGGCCUUUGUUUUAAGUUUGCUUUCCCUCAGGGCUGGGGCUGAGCCCAGGGCCUCCCCACGGGGAGGGCCUGAGCUCUGUUCUUGUUUUGGGCUGCUUCAGUGAGAACUCGGUUCCUCUCUUCAGCUUCACGCCGGGAAACUGCGAUUUCAGUUCUUGAUUUCUCAGGAAUUACACAGAACAGAGCCGGAACUGCUGCCGAGCCUGAUUCUCCAAUCUGAAAUUCGCAUCCACAGCAUAAGCUUGGAGGGGAGCCUGAGAGGGAGGCUGGGAGAACUGGGACCAUCUCUAACGGCCAGAGGCCCCCCCACUUCAAUUCCAGAGCUGGAGUGUCAGAGGGGCGUGUGGCCACCGCUGAAGGGGUGGGCCCCAUCUUCCUUGGAGCCAGGUACAGCCUCAAGGUCGAGUGAUGGGGACCGUGCUGUGUCCCCUUCUCUUUCCUAUCUGCUUUCAGCAGGAGAGUGGACGGGGGCAGGUGGAACUGCUCUGACCCUGGGCAGGGUGGAGUAGUGAGACAGCCGGGGGCUGGUUUUGGGGCCACCACAUGGAGUAGGGUCUCCUUCCUUCCUGGACCACCAACCACCCCUACAUGGUUAUUUCUAAUUCACCCCAGACGCUGUAUUUUGGGUCUUGUGAUUGUGCUUUCAUUGCUAUAACAAAACACCAAAGGCAUGCGAAGUUUCUAAGAAAAAGAGGCCUAUGUAGCUCAUGGAUUUUGGAGGCUGAAGUCCAAGGAGUGUGAGGGCCACCUGCUCUCCUAGUCUGCGUCCCAUUGCAGAUGGCAAUAGUAGGAGCCACUGUGGGAGGGAGGAAGAGAUGGCAUUGUUCAAUAGGGGCCCAGGAGGAAUGGCUGCUCUCCCUGGGGCAUGCCCAGGCUGUCCCAGGGACCCCCCCACUAGGUCCUGCCUCUUAAAGGCCCUCCGCCAUCCUCUACCACCUGAGCCUUCAGGGCAAACCCUGGUGGGCUAGCCACCACCCUGCACCUGGCGGGCAGCCUCCCCUGUCCACGCAACUUUAACUCUUGCCUUUGUAACCUGGCUCUCCUGACAGAGGUGCUCCCUGAGAACCGCAGCCGACUUGGUGUUCAGCCAGGGCCCAGCCGGAUAGCAACGCUGGAGGGCAGACAUGGGACACCUGAGGAUUCGCAGAAGCAGAAUCCUCAGGCACAUUCCUCAGGCCUCCCCAGGCACAUUCCUCAGGCCUCCCCAGCCUCCGGAUCCAGCUUGGACCUGGCCAAAUGGAUGUGACCUCACUUCUAACGGGUGGGAAGAUCCCACUGACCAAGGUGACUACAAUAACAAAGUAUCAGCUGCAAAGGUCCAAGAAAUGGGGAGGAUGUAAAUGUAGACAGCUUUAGAAUCCUGUGGAAAUAAGGAAGGCGGAGCUGGG